AUUUUCAGCCGAAUACUUUAGUGCUAAAAAUUAAAAGCUACAUUCUCCAAAUUUAAAGGAUAUGGCGGUUGUUUAAUCUAAUUAGAGGAACCUGCUUGAUAAACGAUAAACCACGCAAGAUCUUACCUGAUUUCUAAGUUUGUAUACCGUCAUUAUUAGGCGACUUUUAAAAAAGUCUCUUUAAUAACGUUUAAUUAAUAUAUUAGAUCAAGGUGCAGCUAAUAAUCAGGACAGAGUGGGUUACAAUAAAAUUAAUUUACAACGAAUGCAAGUUUGAAACAACCUGCGGAAGGAGGAUUUAAUAGUAAAAUAAAUUUAAUAAGUUUCUCUGAUACUAGACCUAAACUAAGUACAUAUCGCCCGUCACUUUCACUACCAGGUGAAAUAAGUCGUAACAGAG
rnacentral:rRNA from 1 species